rnacentral:rRNA from 1 species
GACGAACCGUGCGAACGUUGUUCGGAAUCACUGGGCUUAAAGGGCGCGUAGGCGGGCUGCCAAGUCCGGGGUGAAAUCUUUCGGCCCAACCGGAAAAGUGCCUUGGAUACUGGCGGCCUGGAGGGAGGCAGGGGCGGAUGGAACUUCCGGUGGAGCGGUGAAAUGCGUUGAUAUCGGAAGGAACGCCGGUGGCGAAAGCGAUCCGCUGGACCUCUUCUGACGCUGAGGCGCGACAGCGUGGGGAGCAAACAGG